UCUAUGGGUAGUUUUCUAAUUUUCAAAUGUCAGUAGCUAAUUUACAAUCAUUUAAAAUAUUAUGUGGGCUAAUUUGUGAGCUCUGCCUUAAUAUUUGUAAGAUAAUAAUAAUUGCCACUGGAAAUGGAAUUCUGCCUGGCUGUGACCCCUGAAUGAUAGAAAUAGAACCCAUAAGUGGCAGUUACAGAGAAAUAAGCCUUGGUUCAAAAUAAGAACACAUUUCCUAAUAAUAUUACUCAAAGUCAGAGUGUUCUGUUGUAGGGAAUGAGUUGCUCAUUUCUAUAUGUGUUCAAGAAUCAAUUGGUUGACAUCUUUGCCAGAACUGUGUAAAGGAAGACUAGACAUGAGACAGAUGGGAUGUUACCCUUCACAUCUCCCUUCAAACCUGAGCUCCUUUGAAUCAAAAGCCGUACUUCUUCACGAAGGUUUUAAUUCAAGCUGGACUGGCAUUCAGAAUGAGCCUUCUGGUUUUACUUUCUGUGUCAUACGUAGAACACAUGUGUGUCCUUUCUGGUCUGUUAAUAUAGGAUGGGAUUGGAAUGCCUUUUCCAAGGGAAAAUGUUUCAAAGGCUGAUUAUUACUAUUUUAGACUUCCUAUCUCUUGGAUUUGCCUUGCCCUGAGUUGGCCUGUGCUUCUUCAAAUCCACUCAGCAAAGUUCAACUUGGCUUGGCUGUGUCUCUGCUGGUAUUAUUUUCUAUGGAAAUAAAUGCACACAGACUCUGAUAAUUUAUACACACUCAGAUGUAACCAUAAGGAGAAACCAACACUUUAUAUUUUUAAAUUGCCAUAAAUCUGGGAUCUGGAAAUGAACAAUUUUUCUUCCUCUGAACACAUAUAUUUGCCAAUAUUGGUACUUUCUGUACCCUCAAAAACAUUGACUAUAUUAAUAUAACACUGAAAAUGUGAACAUUUAAGCAAAAACUAUUUGGCCAAUUAAACCAGAUACAACAAUUAAUUCAAUGACAAAAAUAAGUCAAGCAAGUCAGCUUUGGCACAUGGAGGCAUCAAGACACCAGCGUCUGUUUUAUUUUUGACGGCCGCGUCUGGUCCUUAUAUAUUCAUCUAACACUUUCAGUAGAUCUUGACUUCAGUAUGAAACUUGCUCACAUUUUCAGAUCUAUAAAGGACAGAUUUUAACCAUUAUUCUGAAAAGGCUUUUUAUUCCACAAGAAAAUGAAGAGGAAAAAAGACUGCUUUAUACUAAAAUACUUAUUUCAGCCUUGAAGCUAAGCCCUAGCCAUUCUCAGAUGCUGGAAUACUUGGGUUUGGGAGAUCUUUACUGCAUGGUUCUUGGCCUGGAGCCUCAGCAUGCUAGAGAAUCCACUUGAAUGUUCUGUUUUUCAAUCAUUUGUUUGCAAAGUCUAAUCUGGAAGAGGAAUUAAUAUUAUUAAGGAGCUUUUAUGUGCAAGAGCUGUGCCAAGCGCUUAACAUACACUGUCUUGUUUAACCCUCACGACGACCAGUGGGGCAGGCAUUUCUAUCCACAUGAGAAAGCAGGCUCCCGAGCUUCAGAAUCAAAUCAGAGCUUGGGACUCAGGGCAACCAGCUCCAAGAUCACACAGGUGUUUGUUUGUUUGUUUGUGUUUGUUUGUUUCAGCAUAAGACAAAUGAUGGGGGAAAGGAGAAAAGAAAUCUUGUAACUUAGGUAAUCGAAAAUAAAAUUUCAAGAACCAUUUAUGAAACUAUCUCUUGGAAUCAUAAUACCAGUUACACAUUAAACUUAACCAUAGGGAGACUGAGUACAAACAUUUAGCGAUUAGCCUUAUGGUAAAUCUGUGAGAUUGAAACUUUCUAAAUCUUAUUGCAGAUGGUGCUAGCUACUGACUUUGACUUUCGGCUGUUAGACUGAUCAUUAGCAAAUAACUUAUGAACGCACAUCAGCUUUGAGUGAACUUUGCUAUUUUUCUUUGCCCUGAUUUGUUACGAUCUAUGCCUUCUUUGGUAACCCCGAUGAUCACUCAAAGUAGGACUUUGAGCAGAUAUCCUAAGGCCGAUAUCCCAAUUCUGCAUCUGUGUUUUCCCUUGAGGUUUAAACAGUAUGUUGAAUCAACAUUCUAUCAAGAGCCUUUUCAGUGCUUUCUACCAAGAAGUUCUUAGUGAGAGCUGCAUUCAGUUCAACUUUCUUUCUCGGUUCCUUUCCCUACCCUGGUUUAGUGUGUUGAAAAAAUCCUUUCGCAUCAGCAUUUAUGCAGCAUAUAAUUUUUUUACUCUCAUCCAACAGGCACAUUUGGAUUUACUAUUUCACUUGAACAGUUGGUGUUUACUGGCAGCAACAAGAACAAAAUUUAUAGCAGCAAAUGGAAGCUGAACUCGCAUGCUGGCUUUGCACUGAAGAACUUUGUGUCUGCCAUUUCCUAAUUGUGAAAACAGUAUGUCCAAGAUUUUGCAGUCAUCAGCAUUCUGAUGUAACGACUUCCAUCUGGUCAAAGGAAGGAAUUCAGAACCGCUAUCUCCUUUUGAAUUCUACUCCAAUGCAAAGGCAUAUCUAGAGCUCUUCAAAUAAGCAAUGUGAUGUUAGAAAAAGUGCAGAAGCUCCUUCAGCACUUUCCAGGGCUAACCAGCUGCUGAGGAGGGACCUCUAGGAAGGAGAGAAGCACUCUGAUCCAGACAGGGAUUUACACCUAAAGUUCCAACUCCACCAUGUCUUCAGAACAGUUCUUCUGGACCUUGCAUCCAAUUGUGGAGAUGUUAAUUAUCAACAAACAAAAUCUCCGGGUGCCCGAAGGACCUAGGCUACACAGAAACCUGUGAACUGCCCGUGAGAAUGCAAUGAGUCAAAAGAAUAACAGAAUUAAAUAAGUUCAGUCUCUAAGUGUGUCUUAAAACUCUUAUCUAUAAACCCCUAAUCUUAGUAAUUUCCGUCACAGUUGUUAUUCAUAAACAUUUGAUCAUUGUUCGUAGAAGAUCUAACAAAUUAGCACCAUGGAUUGUUUUGGAGAUGAAAGGACAGUACACUAUUCCGUUUAGCUUGUUCAGGGCACUUGAGUUAAAUCCCUUGAGUCCUCACUCCAUCAGAUAGUCCAUGAAAUGCUGAUGACGAUAUAAUAAUUAUCCAUACAGUUAGAGUGUUCACUAAUUAAGAAUGCUGAAGAAUGAAGUAUAUUAAAUGGGUCAUGCUGCAUUUUUUUUUUUUUUUUUUGAGACAAUGUCUCACUCUGUUGCCCAGGCUGGAGUGCAGUGGAGCAAUCUCGGCUCACUGCAACUUCUGCAUCCUGAUUCAAGUGAUUCUGCCACAGCCUCCCAGGUAGCUGGGAUUACAGGCACAUGCCAUCAUGUCUGGUUGAUUUUUGUGUUUUUAGUAGAAACAGUGUUUCACCAUGUUGGCCAGGCUGUCUCUAACGCUUGACUUCAGGUGAUCUACCCACCUCAGCCUCCCAAAGUGCUGAGAUUACAGGCAUGAGCCACUGCCAUAUUGCACCUUAGAAUGAAUUUGUGUUUGUGAGGUAGAGGAGAUUUCACUCAAAAUUAAGAAUUACUAAAGAUGGGGUAUUAAUAGGAAAUGAAAAAUUGCUUUUACUCCAAUGACUUAAAUAGCAUUGCAUCGUUCACAUUACUAAGAUGUUUCUACAUGGAGAACUUUAGAAAGCAAAUCCUGAAGGGUGCAGACAGGGGAAGGAAAAAGGAAGAGAAACGGAAGAAGACAGGGAAGGGAAAAUGAGGAGGAAGGAGAAAGAAGAGGAGGGAGAGGGGGAAAUUUGGAAAAGGCUGGAAGAAUUUGCUUUCUUCACAUUCUGGUUCCCAGCUUGGUCCUCUUCUGGCAAUAAUCAGGCCCUGGGGGAGAGAGGAGUGAAAGACAGAAAGGGUAAAGAAGAAAAUAAAAUAAACAGAUAGAAAAGAAGAAGACCAGGAGAAAUCUGAACGAGGAAAGAAGAAACAUAGAAGACACACAGAACAUGGCAUGUUAAAAUGACACUAAAAUGAGAGUUAAGCUUAGUUCAGCAAAAGUUUUGAACCCCUCAAGUGUGCCAGGUGCUGUACAAGGAGCCAGCAACACGCAUAUGAAGGAGACAUGGCCACUGUUGUGGAGGAACUCACAGGAGAGAACCAGGGUUGAGAAGAAAGUAAGUGAACGCCAAGAAAACUUGCACUGCAUGGGUUAUUUGGAGGCUCAAAAGGGGUAAAAUGCUUUUUCUCUAAGCACUUUUGGUGAUGAAUUCCCAUUUCAUCUAAUGUGGUUUCUACUUGACAUUAGCUUUUGGACAUUUUCGAAAGAUUUCUGAAAUCUACUCCUUAGUAGGAGGCUUGGGGGUGGGGUGGAGAGAAAAGGAUGUGUGUAGCUUUGCCUCAGCAAGUUUCGUUCCCCUUCCAAACAGAUGUUGUCUGGCUAGCGCAGCACUGCAUAAAACAUGACUACUGGAUUUGGCACAAAAAGCACCAAUUAACCUAUGUUGAUUGAGUCAUGUAAAAGCAACAGGGCUCACUUAGCGUUGGAUGCUGUUUAAAGAAGGGUAGUCUCAGCCCAGAUUGCUCAUUCCCAUCACGUUCCGCAUCAUGUUCGGCACAGCUGCAGUGGCUGCCCUCCACCCGUCUUGCUGUCCCCUUGCCCAGCUUGGAGCCCUGCAGGCUCAUGCUGGGCCCUAAGCAGACUGCAAACAUGGAAGACAAACCCAAGAUUCAGCUACUCCAAGUAUGUCUGCUUCGAAAUAAUGAGAAUAAGAGAAUAAAGGGUCCUUUCCUCCCCCUCCUCCUGCUUCUUUCCUCUUAAUCUCCCCCUCCCUUUCUUUCUCCUUCCACACCACUUACCAAACUGGGAAUCUCUCUCUUUCCCUCAUCAUCAUUCCCUUCUCCUCCUCUUCUCUUACUUUUCCCUCUUUCAGCACCUUCUCUUUAUGCUGGUGACAGGCUCAAGAGUCCCUACAUUUUCUAGACCUAGGGAAGUGGUUUUCCAACUGUUCAUGAGAAAUCCCCGCACAGCUAGUUUAAAUUCAGGCAGGC